GCAAAAAUUCCGCUACGAUUCCGGUUGUGGAAGUUGCUCAUCUUCGGCGAUGGUGGGGCUGUAUCCGCGUCUAUUGAGGUGCUGUGGCGCAGCUACUUGUUCGGGUUGUGGUUAGUGUGGAGCUCCAAAGUGUGGCGGAGAGAGCGACCAUGCGGCGAAUCAGUGGAAUUCUUAGUUUUUCCUGCUGAUCUUGGUGAAGUUGGCAUUUGGGCUCUGUCGACGGUGCUUGUGAGCACCUAAUGCGGUGGUUUGCGCUCUAUUUCUAUUAUAUGUGCCUCUAAUCUGAUUGCAGUCAUUAUCAACUUCUCUUGUUAGUUUGUGGUGGUCAAGAUCAAAUCAGUGUCUGGGAAGAAGAAAAAAAAAGGGACACUUGUGAUGUUUUUCCGUACAUAUGUGCUGCUGCUAACGUAGUAUUAGUUGAUUGUGGCGGUCGAGGGUAUUGGCCGUGUUUGGCCGGAGGUUCCUGCUUCUCCCAUUGGACUCUUGCGGCAGCGUGGAACAAGUUGCGUGACAAUUAUCUAGUGGUGGAGAUGUUGCAUGCAAAGAGCUGUGCUAUGCUAUUGGCAAAGAAGUGAUGAGCUGUAAUUAGCGAGUGGUAGUGUGAAUCUUCAUGGUGCGGAUUAGAAUGUGUGACCAAUGGCGCUUUGCAAGACGUUGCGGUGAUGGAGUUGUUCUCCUUUAUCGUUAGUUCUUGCAACGACAGUGUCGUCAUGGUUGUUAUAAUUAUUUAUUUAUUUUUUGUGCUCUCCUUCUAGUUAUUGUUGCCACGUGAAUGCUGGAAUGUAACCUUAUUCGGUGCGUAGAGAGGGAUCUCAUUAGGAAGACUGUAGCCAGCUCAAUCAUACUCGUCAUUCUUUGUCAAUGAUGGUGGAGUGAGGGUGCAUAGCGAUCGACAUUCCUAUUCUUGUCAACAAAUCAAGUACAAGUUUUACUUGAUGUUGUGCGUUCUUGAAACUUCAAAAACUUGUAAUCGACGCCUCUUGCAGAUCAUUAAUAUCCACUUUGUUCAGAAUCUAGAGCUUGGCUUGAA